AGCCAAGCAGGCUAUGGCUGCGCUAAGUCUCCACAAUUUGUGGAGUCAUUUCCACCAGCCUGUAUUGUGUUCCUGGUUUCCACUGAUUUAUCCCUCUGUUGGCCCUUCCAGACUUCAGGUGGAAGACAACUGGGAAAUGAAGUCACUUCAUAACAACCUGAGAAAGUGCCCCAAAGUCAUUGAAAUACACAGAACACUUUUCCCAAGAACUAGGGAUCCAGUAACUGGAUACUUUCACCAAGAAGACAAGUCUUCUUCUGUUUCUCUCUAUGACUCUGCUGACAAUCCUCACCUGGUUGCAGACAGACAGGAAGACUUGCUUCCAGAAUGAAGG
rnacentral:lncRNA from 1 species